UUUUAGGGUUCAUUAAAGCACAUGUACACGUAUAUCUUGAUUUCCAGUGCGCAGCCCCACAAAUUAAAUUGAUGAUUCCCACAUCGGGCCAAAAAUGCAACAGGAGAAGGCUGUGAAAAAUUAGGAAAUCUUCUUGACAUCGGGAAAUCCGACACUUGUCUGCUCUAACAUCUGUAAGUGCCAAAGAAAGAGGGGGAUUUUUUUCCUUAAAGAAAGGCAGGUUUGCCUAUCUCCGAGCGACGAUCGGUCGGGGCUGUUUUCUGAAGAAGCUUAUAGGUAAAGAGGCAUCCAUACGUUCACACAGGAGGAUUCAUAAAGGCAAAGACGAGAAGAUAAAGGUAUUAUUUUGACAUGAUGACCCCUGGAAAAUGUCUUUGACUCAUCCCAACCUAAAACCUACAAUGAAUUUACAUCAUCUAUAUGGAGCUUUGGACCAACAGGUUGUUGCCACUUUUGCUGCCUUUGCCUCUGAGAAGUUGAGUAAAUCUUUGGCCCCUUUCAAAUACUUUCUCAUCUGCACUGAAUUUUUACUGACAAACCAACUGAUAGAUACAGACCUAAGAAAUAUUUAUAAUC